rnacentral:tRNA from 1 species
GCCCACGUAGCUCAGGCGGCAGAGCGCUUCCUUGGUAAGGAAGAGGUCGCCGGUUCGAGUCCGGCCGUGGGCU